rnacentral:lncRNA from 1 species
AAAGGAUUGGCACAACUGAGCCAGUGCACAAGAAAGCAAUGGCAUGUCCAAUUCAAAAGAACCCAUGUGGUAGCAGUCAGUGCUAGAUUCCCUAAGUGAAUGAUGCUUUAUUUUCAGAAAAAUGUUAGGUAUCAAGUAAACUCAAUAUUAUUAUUAAAUGUAUUGGAGUAUUGUUUGAAUGCAAAUAAAUGAUUGAAUAUAUCACUUUUCAUUGAAAUAUUUUAGCAUAAUUUAGGAACUGUCACUUAGUGUUAGCAGGCUUAUCAUAAUCUUAUCAGUUAGCCUCCUGGAUAAACUGGAGGCGAGCCUUCAUGGAAAAAAGCUAGCUCUAAACUCCUAAUUAUUUUUUAAAAAAUUAUAUGUAUAUGUAAUGCAUACAUAUGGUAAAAAUUAAAUAGAACACGGGAAUAAAAAACAUGAUAAAAAACAAGAGUCCCCCAGCCCUCCCUCCUAGACAGUGGCCUCCUUCCCAGAGGCAACCUCUUUUAACUAUUUCUUGUUUUGGUUCUUCUGGAGGUAACUCCCACAGUCUGGACUCACGGAGGUGAGGCAAUCUGGAUAUUGGCAUGAGGGUUUUUAGUUGUCACAGUGAUGGGGUGUGGGGGGACUACUGGCAUUUACUGGGCCCAGGAGAAGGUGACAAGUCUCCUGCAAUGCACAAGAUGGUCUUGAAUAAUGAAGUCAUGUCCCCGUUUCUCACCCUGUUUAUUGUCCUCUGGACAUUCACACAGACAAAAAAAUCCGCUUCUAAUCAUCAGUAUAACAUAACUCCAUUUCAUACAUAAACAUGAGUUAUUUUGGGGUGGUUUUAAGACAUGUUGAUUUUUCCAGGGAUGCAA